rnacentral:rRNA from 1 species
UGGAUUAGUGGCGGACGGGUGAGUAACGCGUGAGUAACCUGCCUUGUACAAGGGGAUAGCCGUUGGAAACGACGAAUAAUACCCUAUGAUAUGAUAAUAUCGCAUGAAAUUAUCAUCAAAGAUUUAUCGGUAUAAGAUGGACUCGCGUCUGAUUAGCUAGUUGGUGGAGUAACAGCCCACCAAGGCGACGAUCAGUAGCCGGCUUGAGAGAGUGUACGGCCACAUUGGGACUGAGACACGGCCCAGACUCC